CCCGUCCUUGUCUGAGGGUGAUGCUGUUCGAUGAAUGUCACGUGAGAGUAGUGUGCUGAAUCCAAUUGACACAAGAUCCGCACCUCUUGAUUAGCUAGUUGGGUUUGGGUGCAAUUUUUGGAACC